rnacentral:rRNA from 1 species
GAUCCUGGCUCAGGAUGAACGCUAGCUACAGGCUUAACACAUGCAAGUCGAGGGGCAGCAUGGUCUUAGCUUGCUAAGGCUGAUGGCGACCGGCGCACGGGUGAGUAACACGUAUCCAACCUGCCGUCUACUCUUGGCCAGCCUUCUGAAAGGAAGAUUAAUCCAGGAUGGGAUCAUGAGUUCACAUGUCCGCAUGAUUAAAGGUAUUUUCCGGUAGACGAUGGUGG